CUUCCUGACAAGAGAAGAUCUGUGUUUUUAUGGCUGUGGAGUUUUUUGAUCUAAACCUUAACCUGAAGACUGUUUUCCUGGCUUGACCUUUACCUUUACUACAGACCUGCUUAGUAAAUGCUGGCCCUGAUCUUAAUGUUGAUCUGUGGAUUGAUUUCCUAGAUUGACCUCGGACCUGCCUCAUCACUAGGGGUCUGCCUGAUGAGAUAGGCUAUUAGUUGGAGCUGGUCACCUCUGGACCCUCAUUACUUAGAUGCUACGGGACUGGACCUUGGUUGAUAUCCCUGCGAGGCCUUCAAGCAGUGCAGAGGAUAUCAUAUCAAAGGCAAGCCUGUGAUGCCCUGCCAGAGGGGAUAUGCAGCCAGGGAGCAGUGAGAGAAUGAGGGGAAAAAAAAAUCUCCUCUAAUGAGAAUGGUGAAGAUCUCCUAUGGCUCUUUCAUGUAUAUGUUAGCUUUCUGUAAAGUCUGUGGCUGCUGAACUCAUGGAAAAAAACCCUACACCUGUUUGAAGCACUAAAAUGUAGAGCUGGAUCAGCUGGAUAUAAUUGCCUAAUGUCCUAGGAGCAAAUAAUGGCUGUUUUUCCAACUGUUAAUGAAGUGCUGCUACAGAAGCACCACCAAUGGACAAGAUGGAGAAGCUGGUGUGCUCUGCUUUCUGCCAAAUAAGUGUCUUUGUUUGGAAGCAGCACUGGAAUUGUAAUUCGAAUCCAGCUCAAGACUGAGGAGAGCCCUGCUAAGGCAAAGAUAACUCCCCAUGUGAUGAUAAGUUAACCAGUGUGCAGGAAAGCAACUCCUAGCCUGUUUCAGGUAUGAGAUGUAUGUUGAAACAGGAUGAGAGGCUUCUUAAAGAGGUGGAGAAAAUGCAUUCCAUUCAAAUUCCAUUAACAGGAGCUUCAGUCAACCUUAAACAGUUACUUCUAAUACAACUAAAGGAAGAAAUAACUUCUAUUGGCACCUUUCAAAUGUAUUUGGAAAGCACUUUGAGUAUCUGUCUUCUGCUCUAUUGUUUACUCAUUGAAGGCUGCUACAACUUCUAGGUGCUGAAAAUCAUCUUAGCCCUCAGCAUAAGGUUUAGGAGGAACGGCAAGAAGGUUAAAGGCAAAUAUUCAGAUGCUAAUCAAGUGUUCUGUGUGUCUUAAUAAAAGAAAAUAUUUCUCUGUUUACACAUAUACAUACUAUUGCAAACACUUUCUGGGCUUGGCAUGCCAGAGAUAUUGAUGUCUGGUCUUGGUUGCCUCAGCCAAGCUGUACAUCUGCUAGAGCUGGAUGAACUUGUGGUGCACUUAUUACUCCCUCUCUUUCAGGCUGAUGGGGUUUCUUCUACUCUUCUACCUAUGCUUUGAGGAAAGGAACAGUCCAUCUUUUGUCUGGAAGUUAGUGCUCUUUCUAAUGUUGUUUCUGUGCUGGUUGGGGUAGAUGCGCUUUCAGAAAAGGCAGGAUAUCGGUGUGGUGGUAGUGCUUACAUUACGAAGAGUAUGCUUGAUAACAUAGUAGUGACGUUGAAUUUUUUUAUAUAGUAAGUUUCCAUGUUAGUAUGUAUAUUGGGUAUUAAAAAAUGUCUUGUGAGUAGCUCUGUUUUCAGAGAUGUAUGUAAAGUUAGUCCUUGUUAGACUAGGCUAUGUUGCAUUCCUGUCUGCUUUAGGUCACUUGAGUCUUCUGUUGUGUUUGUUUUUGACAUAAGUUCAUGAUGUUAGUCAGAAGUCUGAGGUCUCCAUGGGACUGGGACUUCCAGAAUAUAUUUCUGAAUUUGAAUUUUUUGUGCCCUCUUUUGAAUUUGAAUUUUUGUGCCUUUUUUUUUUUUCUUGAAAUGCACCUUGUAUGCUGCAUCAUAUGUCCACCUUUCAGAACAAAGAGCUGUGUAGUAUAAUUUAGAAGGAGGGAGAGGGAUAAACAACCCCACUCAUACCUAUUUCUAUCUACAGUUCUAACUGAUUAUAUUAUUAGUAAUGAGCAAUCUAAUGAGUUUAUUGUCCUUUAGGUCAUAAAAUAGCCAGAAGCAGGCUGUGCUUUUCUCAAAUUUAUUAUCUGUUCAGAAUUUGCACAAUUAUUUUAUCCCUCUUAAACCUAUGAAUGGGAACUGAGCAGUUUAUUUGACAUUCAGCUUCUGAGCUGCAUUUCUCCUGUUGAUAACCCUUUCAGAAGCAAGUCUUUAAAUCGCUUGUAGACUAGUAGAAGAUAAAGUACAGAGAUUUUUUUUAUACUGA